rnacentral:rRNA from 1 species
UACAGAGGUCCCAAGCGUUGUUCGGAUUCAUUGGGCGUAAAGGGUGCGUAGGUGGCGCCGUAAGUGGGAGUGUGAAAUUUCGGAGCUUAACUCCGAAACUGCAUUCCAUACUGCGGUGCUUGAGGACUGGAGAGGAGACUGGAAUUCAUGGUGUAGCAGUGAAAUGCGUAGAGAUCAUGAGGAAGACCAGUGGCGAAGGCGGGUCUCUGGACAGUUCCUGACACUGAGGCACGAAGGCUAGGGGAGCGAACGGG